rnacentral:tRNA from 1 species
AGGGGUGUCGCCAAGUUGGUUAAGGCACUGGAUUUUGAUUCCAGCAUUCGCAGGUUCGACUCCUUCCACCCCUGCCA